rnacentral:tRNA from 1 species
GAUUACAAGGAAUAGUUUAAGAUAGAAUGUCAGCUUUGGGUGCUGAUGGUGGGGCUGGUGCUUCUUCUUGA